UGUGAGGGUUGCUGGAGGUAUCAGAAGUGCGAAUGCUGACAUAAGUAACGAUAAAGCGGGUGAAAAGCCCGCUCGCCGGAAGACCAAGGGUUCCUGUCCAACGUUAAUCGGGGCAGGGUGAGUCGACCCCUAAGGCGAGGCCGAAAGGCGUAGUCGAUGGGAAACGGGUUAAUAUUCCCGUACUUGGUGUUACUGCGAAGGGGGGACGGAGAAGGCUAUGUUGGCCGGGCGACGGUUGUCCCGGUUUAAGCGUGUAGGUGUGUGUUCCAGGUAAAUCCGGUUCACUUUAACACUGAGGCGUGACGACGAGGCACUACGGUGCUGAAGCAACAAAUGCCCUGCUUCCAGGAAAAGCCUCUAAGCAUCAGGUAACAUCAAAUCGUACCCCAAACCGACACAGGUGGUCAGGUAGAGAAUACCAAGGCGCUUGAGAGAACUCGGGUGAAGGAACUAGGCAAAAUGGUGCCGUAACUUCGGGAGAAGGCACGCUGACACGUAGGUGAAGUGAUUUACUCAUGGAGCUGAAGUCAGUCGAAGAUACCAGCUGGCUGCAACUGUUUAUUAAAAACACAGCACUGUGCAAACACGAAAGUGGACGUAUACGGUGUGACGCCUGCCCGGUGCCGGAAGGUUAAUUGAUGGGGUCAGCGCAAGCGAAGCUCCUGAUCGAAGCCCCGGUAAACGGCGGCCGUAACUAUAACGGUCCUAAGGUAGCGAAAUUCCUUGUCGGGUAAGUUCCGACCUGCACGAAUGGCGUAAUGAUGGCCAGGCUGUCUCCACCCGAGACUCAGUGAAAUUGAACUCGCUGUGAAGAUGCAGUGUACCCGCGGCAAGACGGAAAGACCCCGUGAACCUUUACUAUAGCUUGACACUGAACAUUGAGCCUUGAUGUGUAGGAUAGGUGGGAGGCUUUGAAGUGUGGACGCCAGUCUGCAUGGAGCCGACCUUGAAAUACCACCCUUUAAUGUUUGAUGUUCUAACGUGGACCCGUUACCCGGGUUGCGGACAGUGUCUGGUGGGUAGUUUGACUGGGGCGGUCUCCUCCUAAAGAGUAACGGAGGAGCACGAAGGUUGGCUAAUCCUGGUCGGACAUCAGGAGGUUAGUGCAAUGGCAUAAGCCAGCUUGACUGCGAGCGUGACGGCGCGAGCAGGUGCGAAAGCAGGUCAUAGUGAUCCGGUGGUUCUGAAUGGAAGGGCCAUCGCUCAACGGAUAAAAGGUACUCCGGGGAUAACAGGCUGAUACCGCCCAAGAGUUCAUAUCGACGGCGGUGUUUGGCACCUCGAUGUCGGCUCAUCACAUCCUGGGGCUGAAGUAGGUCCCAAGGGUAUGGCUGUUCGCCAUUUAAAGUGGUACGCGAGCUGGGUUUAGAACGUCGUGAGACAGUUCGGUCCCUAUCUGCCGUGGGCGCUGGAGAACUGAGGGGGGCUGCUCCUAGUACGAGAGGACCGGAGUGGACGCAUCACUGGUGUUCGGGUUGUCAUGCCAAUGGCACUGCCCGGUAGCUAAAUGCGGAAGAGAUAAGUGCUGAAAGCAUCUAAGCACGAAACUUGCCCCGAGAUGAGUUCUCCCUGAGACUUAGAGUCUCCUGAAGGAACGUUGAAGACGACGACGUUGAU
rnacentral:rRNA from 1 species